CAUUAAUUAGACUUCAUUUUGCAUGCUUACUAUUUUACCAGUAAGAAUUAUAUUGAGAUUUGAAAGCCAUUGUUUUCAACUACAUAAAGCCUGCAUGGGUAGUAGCAUUACAACUUUAUUAUUUUUCCAAGGUCUCUGCGAGACAUCGAGUCAUUCAGCAUGGGCAAGCAGUACAUGUAAAAAGAAGGCGCCGCUUUUUGGGUGUACUAUUUGUCCACGUGGAAUGGCUGGAAGUGCUGCAGGUAUCUUGGGAUAUCUAAUAAAGUUGUGACGUUAUUUCGGUGCUGUUUCUAUAAAGUGCAGCUUGCUUAUGGCUAUAUGCGUUAGCCUAAAAAAUUAAAUUAUUUUUCAAAUAAAACGUUAAGUGCUGUUUCCAUAAAAAAGACGGCUUACUUCUGGCCUUAGCCAAAAAAUAACAACUAGGGUUUUACUAUAGGGGUCGAGGGCAUUGCCCCAUAUUUGGGAUGUUUGCGCACACAUCAACAUUUGUGCUUCAGUAUGGGAAAGGACGAAACUGCUACUAUAUGGCCAUAUUAUAGUGCUGUUUCUAUAAUGGCAGUGAUUGCCUUUGCUAUACGCUUAAUUAAGCUUUCGAAAUGGACAGCACAGUUUACUGAUAUUUCAAAUUUAGAAAAACCUUAGAUUCACUGCCUAUGUGUGUUUUAGUUACAAUAAAGUGCCAUUCAUGGCUUAGGUGUAUAAGUGUAUAUACGUUCUAUAAAACUAUGCAGUAGUUUUACCCAAGUAUAUAUAUACAGGGUUAUUAAUACAUGCUAAAAGUUUCUGUUUUGUAAGUGGGG